UGAUGAAGGCAAUUUAGCUGUAACAUCAUUCUCCCCACUGAGUUCUAGAGCAGAAUUGGCUGAUCUAAUUGGUGGGCUGCUUUCUUCCUCCCUCACCACUCAAUGUAUAUAUGUUCUGAAGAGGAAUGCUUAGUAUAAGGGGGUGACAUCCCUUCUGUAGUCAAAGAUCUAGUUGAUUUAGGAAAGCAAAAUCUGAGCUCUUUAGUGUGAUGUGAUGGAAAAUCAUACUAGAUUAUAAGAACAGGGAGCCAUGAACAGUGGGUUAUCAUCUUUAUGU
rnacentral:sRNA from 1 species